rnacentral:rRNA from 1 species
GACGAACGCUGGCGGCGUGCCUAACACAUGCAAGUCGAACGGAUAGGCCCUGCUUUUGUGGGGUGCUCGCGUGGCGAGCGGGUGAGUAACACGUGAGUCUCCUGCCCUUUACUUUGGGAUAACUUCAGGCAACUGCGGCUACUACCGGAUUGGAGCUCCUGCUGCUUGGUGGGGGUUGGACAGUUUCGGCGGUUUUGGCUGUACUCGCGGCUUAUCAGCUUGUUGGUGGGGUAGUGGCUUACCAAGGCUUUGACGGGUAGCCGGCCUGAGAGGGUGAACGGGGACAUGGGGACUGAGAGACGGCGCAGACUGCUACGGGAGGCAGCAGGGGAGAAUAUUGCACAGUGGGGCGGAGUGUGUGGCAGCAACGUCGGGUGCGGGAUGAAGUCCUUGUGGUUAUAAACCGCAGUCGCCUGUGACGAAGCGUGAGUGACGGUAAUGGGUGAAUAAGCACCGGCUAACUACGUG